rnacentral:rRNA from 1 species
GUACGAGCGCAACCCUUGUCCUUAGUUACCAGCACGUUAUGGUGGGCACUCUAAGGAGACUGCCGGUGGACAAACCGGAGGAAGGUGGGGAUGACGUCAAGUCAUCAUGGCCCUUACGGCCUGGGCUACACACGUGCUACAAUGGUCGGUACAAAGGGUUGCCAAGCCGCGAGGUGGAGCUAAUCCCAUAAAACCGAUCGUAGUCCGGAUCGCAGUCUGCAACUCGACUGCGUGAAGUCGGAAUCGCUAGUAAUCGUGAAUCAGAAUGUCACGGUGAAUACGUUCCCGGGCCUU